CGCACGGAAGGGGCGGCCUGGAGCGCCCGGAACAGCGGGGCGCAGCUGGGCAUCGCUUCCCCCCGACGGGAAGGGCCUGGCGCUCCACGGGGCCUCAGCCUAGCGGGGAUUGUGGCCAUCAAGCACCUCCUCGGGUGUAACCAACUCGGGCUGGGAAAUCCCUGGAGAUUUGGGGUUGGAGUCAUGAGUUAAUCAAGGGAGACCAGGAGCAAGAUCCGUGCCCAACAGCACCUUAAAGACCAACGAGAUUUCCAAGGUGUGAGAUUUGGAGAGUCAAAGCACCCAACCAUACUGACUUCGAGGGACAGUACGCACCUGUCCUACAAUGAGACCUGCUUGAAACAUCAGUGGACCCUGGCACUUUUGUUAUACCUUAACCAAGAAUAUAGGACAGACUAACACGGCUAUCCAUCUUGAUCUGUCUCCAUGGAAGGCGCCACGUUUAGCCGUACAGAAUGGAAAUCCAUCAACCUUGUGAAGAAACUUGCACAGCUACACAAAAUUGAAGACAGGAUACACUAGAAGCAAGAAUACUCUCACCCUCUCCAAGCUGUAGAUGGGCGGAGCCUAAUGGGCGUUGCCAGCUUUUUAAAAUCCCAUUUCAUAUAAAAACUUUAUCAAAGGCUCAAAAUUAGCACAUCAUAUGCUGUAAAAUAUAACAACAACAACAACAACAUUUGAUUUAUAUACCGCCCUUCAGGACAACUUAAUGCCCACUCAGAGCGGUUUACAAAGUAUUAUCAUCUCCACAACAAAGUAUGUCAUUAUUAUCCCUGUGAGGUGAGUGAGGUUGAGAGAGCUCCGAGAAGCAGUGACUGACCAAGGUCACCCAGCUGGCUUCACGUGGAGGAGUGGGGAAUCAAACCUGGCUCUCCAGAUUAGAGUCCCGCGCUCUUAACCACUACACCAAACUGGCAAUAAAUACUAUUAUGAACAAGCCAUCUAUGGAACAUUAUUGUAAAAGAAUCUCUGUAGCAUUACUUACAUACAGCAUAUCGCCCAGUUGGUGUGUUAGUGACGGAAUAAUUUUGGGCACUUUGCACUUUAAAGUGUAUAUAAAAGGAGGUCUAUAUAAAGUAUAUAUAAAAAGAGCUCUGCGGGCUCCUCCCCCAAAUCUCCAGGAAUUUCCCAACCUGGAGCUGGCAACCCUACACCGGCUUCCACCACGGUCUCCUCCAGAACACUGCUUGCGAGGAAGAAGUGGAGCUGGUGCUGCCGUGUCCUUCAUGUCACCCACCACAUGAAGCCGAGUUACCUUUCCGUCAUCAGCAUAAGGUAGAUCAGUGUUGUUACUGGAUCAGUGUUGUUAUUCCCAUAUUGCAGUGGGGAAGGGGCAUGAUGGGGAGAAAGGGGCUGCCUACAGCUAUCCAAAAAUGAAUGAAAUCCUGCCCUCAAGUCAUACUUGACUCACGGCAACCCCUGGCGAGGUUUUCAUGGCAAGAGACGAACAGAGGUGGUUUGCCAUUGCCUGUCUCUGCAGCCCUGCUCUUCAUUAGAGGUCUCCCAAUCACUAACCGAGGCCGACCCUGCUUAGCUUCUGAGACCUGAUGAAAUCAGGCUCACCUGGGCUAUCCUGGUCAGGGCUGCAGCUAUCCAAGGUCUUCACAAAAGAGAUUCACAGAUUUGCAGACACCAGCUCAUGCAAAUUCUAUGCUGUGGAUAUGCCAGGCAUAUGAUUGAGGCCGGUCCGGCAGUAAUCCGGAGAGCCUCCCAGACGGCCUCUUGUCAGGAGGGCCAUCUGAUCAUCUGGCCCCCUAUAUGAGUUGCAACCAGGGCUUUUUUUCUGGGAAAAGAGGUGGUGGAACUCAGUGGUGGAACUCAGGACUGCACAAUGACAUCACUUUGGGUCAGCUGGAACAAGGUGGCAGUUUUUUAUAGUUUAGAUCGCC